GCCCUUCCAGUUGGGCAACUAAAAUUGGGAUGAUACAGAGAAGAUUAUAACAUGUCCCCUGUUCAAGGAUGACAUACAAAUUUGAGAGGUGUUCCAUAUUUUU